GCUCUGAUGUUCUCUGAACAGCCUCUCUCUGCUCUGUAUAGAAGAUUUACAUUUUAAAUCCAAUCGUUGUGUAAAUUUGCAUUUUCUGUCUCUGUGCUGGGUCUGUACCUUGCAGAUGUAAACCCUCUCGCCAUGCAUAUUUACAUAAAAAACAAACAGCUCCCCAGUCCAGAAACAGCACACCGUUCCCAUGGAAACGAGAGCAUUCUUCUCCAAUUCCCCCAUUUCUAACGAGUUUUUUUUUUUUGUAGAACUCAAUACACUUGAGUUUGCCCACAGGAUGUUCUCAGCAAGCAUGACAAAUAGGUCUCAAGUAGUGUUUACUAAGCUAUGCCAUGAUUAUUAAUAUGCUUUACCAGACCUCUCUGUGCUUUACAAUGCUUCACCACACCUCUCUGUAUUCAAACACUGAAUUCAAAAACCCUAAAAUAAACGAUUCAAUUAGUUCAGACGAAGACACUGAUAAGGACUUUAGUUUGUUAAAAAGCAUGGCAGACCGUGGAGAGAGCCUUCUUAUCAGCAAUAGAUGAAGUAGAUUUCUAGCGGCCAGGGAUCCCUGCUUAUACAGCAGAAAUAACAAACAUCAAUAGAGUCAAAGUUGUGGGGUCUCAGAGAGCCAGCGUUGGAGGCAUGUUAAUCUGUGGCAUUGCAGUGCCCGUGUGCUGGCCCUGCCUGUGGGCACAAAGUGGAGAAAAGGUUUGCCAGUGUUGUGGGCGAUCCAGAUGGGCCGGUUUGAAGUGGGAAAGGGCGCGUUUGAUUGAACUCCGAUUGCGGCUGGUUCUCGUUUGAAGUGCAGAGCGCUUUUGAUGAAAUUUCCACCCACCAAAACAACAAAACCCGGGGCUUGCUUGAAGUGCAAAGUGUGCGUUUCCCCUCGAAAUAUUAAGUGUUGUGUGUGUUUUAAAAUUAGUUUUCAAGGUGAAUUACAUUAAAUUCCAUUUUGCUUCUGUUCUAAAACACAUUGUUUUUCUGUUUUUACAAGGACCCUUGUCACGUCAAUUUAUCCAACCUGUCAAAUGUUCUUACUAGGAACUACUUCUUAAAGGAAAACAGUACCCACUCAGAUACAUUUUAUUACAAAAAAAAAAAAAAAGGAUUCAAAACAUUUGGAUUUGCCAACAUCGUAUUUUUGGAAAACAUCUCCACACCCUUCCAGCGAUCCACUGGACGAAUCCCAGUUGGUUUGUUCCCCAACUGAAAACCCAAAUACAAAAACCAGCUGCAGCUGAAACGGAGGCGGCAUUUCAACACCUCCACCAAUCCCAGCUCGCCAACUCCUCACCUGGAGCAGGUAAUCUCCAGAGCGGCGGUCUGAGUCUGCCCUUUUCAAAAGGAUCUUCCUCGGCAAGGCAGAACUACCAAAGUGGCUUCGUGUUCCAAGUCACGGAUAUUUCAGAUAUUUUUAGUUUAAAAAAUAAAUAGAAUACAGAUGGAACUAUGUUAUUUUUGAAAAUUAUGGCCAUUUAUUAUGAAUUCAUUUACAUUUUCGCUACAUUAUUGUAGCAUUCUGCUGGGAAACUCCUUCAGUAUACAGUACAUUGGGGGGGGGGGGGCUUAGAAUCAUAACUUCAUCCACUUAUUGCAAAAACAAAAUACCAUGCUUGAAUUUAUUUUGUAACAACUUAAUCCCAUCAUUUAAAAACCAAAACUGCCAAACAAAAAGGGUAAAUAUUCACAUAACUUCACAACGAGACGCACGCAUUUUUUUUUUUUUAAAUGUAGACAAUAAAUUAGAAAACAAAUACAGAUUUACAAAAGGAAACAAAUAAUAACAGCCCCCAGCCCCCAGGAAUUUCUAAACAAAAUCUGUAACUAAAAAAAAAAAAAAAGCAGUUGUUUUCUAUUGGUUUGGAAACUGAAUUCCAUUCGCUUGGUGUUCCGAAAAAACACCUUGCAGUCUGAAUGCAGCCGAAAUAUACAUAAAUAAACUGUAAAUUUGCAUUUACCCUUCCUAAACCGGAACGCAGACAAAAAGAUUCUGCUAAACUCUUCUUCAGGUUGUGAGACUAAGGCUGCAUCAACCUUUAAAUUAAAUUUAUGUUUUAUAAAGCCUCGUUAUGUAUGGCUGCGACCCACAGCGGGCGCUAUGCACCCUUCUUUAUCAUCUCCCUGUACAAACAACCAAGGAGCUCAGAUGCACUCCAUGGUUUCCAAAGUUAGCGCCUUGAACAUUCCAGCUAAGCAUUCAUUCCAAGGCACCAAAAAAAAAAACAACAAUUCAUAUUCCAAGAUUGUGUUUACAAGCUAUCGCCUACAGCACGGAAUUGUAUAGAAGUACUAGGUAAGGGGGCAGCGAGCAGCGUUUUAAAUCUUUCAAAAAUAAAUUAAGAUCAGUAGAUUUAAAGAAAAAAACAAACGCACUACAAUUCAGCGAUAGACAGCAUUUUGCAGCCUGCGCGCUGUGUAAACUGUGACCAACAGGAUCACAAACUUGACAGUCAAACACAGCUAGAUUCCUCAGACACGCACACACACACACACACACACACACACACGUUGGAUUCAUUGCAAGACUGCAGCUGUUUUUCUCUUGGUAUCUGAUUAAAAUCCAUGCCAAUUUCCCUUCUCUCCUCAUAAUUGUGUACUUAAGUGUUCAUUUACUAAAAGGUCUACUAGACCCCUUACGUUGAAAAUGCUUUCUAUUCACGUUUACAUGAAGGAGGAAAAGUAUUUCUGGAACCAAAAAAACAAGCAUUGCUGAAUUUCUCAUAUAACCAAGCCACACAAGUCCCC